AUACGGAGGGUGCAAGCGUUGUUCGGAAUCACUGGGCGUAAAGGGCGCGCAGGCGGUUUGGUAAGUCAGAUGUGAAAGCCCAUGGCUCAACCAUGGAAGUGCAUUUGAAACUGCCAGACUUGAGUACUAGAGGGGAAAGUGGAAUUCCCGGUGUAGAGGUGAAAUUCGUAGAUAUCGGGAGGAAUACCGGUGGCGAAGGCGACUUUCUGGCUAGAUACUGACGCUGAGGCGCGAAAGCGUGGGGAGCAAACAGGAUUAGAUACCCCGGUAGUCC
rnacentral:rRNA from 1 species